GAGUUUGAUCCUGGCUCAGGACGAACGCUGGCGGCGUGCCUAAUACAUGCAAGUCGAGCGGAGUUGAUGAGGUGCUUGCACCUCUGAUACUUAGCGGCGGACGGGUGAGUAACACGUGGGUAACCUGCCUGUAAGACUGGGAUAACAUUCGGAAACGAAUGCUAAUACCGGAUACGCGAUUUGGUCGCAUGACCGAAUCGGGAAAGAUGGAGCAAUCUAUCACUUACAGAUGGACCCGCGGCGCAUUAGCUAGUUGGUGAGGUAACGGCUCACCAAGGCGACGAUGCGUAGCCGACCUGAGAGGGUGAUCGGCCACACUGGGACUGAGACACGGCCCAGACUCCUACGGGAGGCAGCAGUAGGGAAUCUUCCGCAAUGGACGAAAGUCUGACGGAGCAACGCCGCGUGAGUGAUGAAGGUUUUCGGAUCGUAAAGCUCUGUUGCCAGGGAAGAAUGCUUGGGAGAGUAACUGCUCUCAAGGUGACGGUACCUGAGAAGAAAGCCCCGGCUAACUACGUGCCAGCAGCCGCGGUAAUACGUAGGGGGCAAGCGUUGUCCGGAAUUAUUGGGCGUAAAGCGCGCGCAGGCGGCCUUGUAAGUCUGUUGUUUAAACUUGGGGCUCAACCCCAAGUCGCAAGGGAAACUGC
rnacentral:rRNA from 2 species